AGAAUCAACGCUGGCGGCGUGCCUAACACAUGCAAGUCGAACGAGAAAGUGGGAGCAAUCCCAUGAGUAAAGUGGCGCACGGGUGAGUAACACGUGAAUAAUCUACCUCCGAGUGGGGAAUAACUGAGAGAAAUCUUAGCUAAUACCGCAUAACACUUACGAGUCAAAGCAGCAAUGCGCUUGGAGAGGAGUUCGCGGCAGAUUAGUUAGUUGGCGGGGUAAUGGCCCACCAAGACGAUGAUCUGUA
rnacentral:rRNA from 1 species